rnacentral:rRNA from 1 species
AUGCACAGAGGAAGAGAACGAACUUCAUAUAUCCCUUUUUUACUCAAUCAAGAAACAAGAUCGGACGUGAUUCUGGUUCGUCUCCAUUUUAGUGACACUCUUCCUCAAGCAAGGCAGCCGAUAAGUCAUCGAAGGGUUUGUUUGAAUAAUGGACUGGUAACCAUUACUCAUUUGAAAGUUUCCCACGGUGAUCUAAUAUCUUUAAAGAAAAUGACGCGAGAACCCGCGGUUUUGAAAUAA